AGUGAACGCUGGCGGUAGGCCUAACACAUGCAAGUCGAACGGCAGCACAGUAAGAGCUUGCUCUUACGGGUGGCGAGUGGCGUACGGGUGAGGAAUACAUCGGAAUCUACUUUUUCGUGGGGGAUAACGUAGGGAAACUUACGCUAAUACCGCAUACGACCUACGGGUGAAAGCAGGGGCUCUUCGGACCUUGCGCGAUUGAAUGAGCCGAUGUCGGAUUAGCUAGUUGGCGGGGUAAAGGCCCACCAAGGCGACGAUCCGUAGCUGGUCUGAGAGGAUGAUCAGCCACACUGGAACUGAGACACGGUCCAGACUCCUACGGGAGGCAGCAGUGGGGAAUAUUGGACAAUGGGCGCAAGCCUGAUCCAGCCAUACCGCGUGGGUGAAGAAGGCCUUCGGGUUGUAAAGCCCUUUUGUUGGGAAAGAAAAGCAGCAGGUUAAUACCCCGCUGUUCUGACGGUACCCAAAGAAUAAGCACCGGCUAACUUCGUG
rnacentral:rRNA from 1 species